rnacentral:misc_RNA from 1 species
AAGUCGUAACAAGGUUUCCGUAGGUGAACCUGCGGAAGGAUCAUUAACACGUAUCCAACGUUAAACAACCCUGUGAACCUUCAGACAGUUCUUCUAGCCGCGGAAACGCCUGGGCUAAAAACCGAACAACUGUUAACAAUGGAUAUCUUGGUUCUC